rnacentral:snRNA from 1 species
AUAACAAAAGAACUGUUAUGGUUU